UACGAAGGGGGCUAGCGUUGCUCGGAAUCACUGGGCGUAAAGCGCACGUAGGCGGCUUUUUAAGUCAGGGGUGAAAUCCUGGAGCUCAACUCCAGAACUGCCUUUGAUACUGGAAAGCUUGAGUCCGGGAGAGGUGAGUGGAACUCCGAGUGUAGAGGUGAAAUUCGUAGAUAUUCGGAAGAACACCAGUGGCGAAGGCGGCUCACUGGCCCGUAACUGACGCUGAGGUGCGAAAGCGUGGGGAGCAAACAGG
rnacentral:rRNA from 1 species